GAUGAACGCUAGCGGCAGGCUUAAUACAUGCAAGUCAAGGGGGUAGCAAUACAACCGGCGCACGGGUGAGUAACGCGUACACAACAUACCAUAUACUGGAGUAUAGCUUUGGGAAACUGAAGGUAAUCCUCCAUAACAUUGCGAGAGGGCAUCUGAUUGCAAUUAAAGUUUCGGCGGUAUAUGAUUGGUGUGCGUUUGAUUAGCUAGUUGGUAGGGUAACGGCCUACCAAGGCGACGAUCAAUAGCUGGCGUGAGAGCGCGACCAGCCACACUGGAACUGAGACACGGUCCAGACUCCUACGGGAGGCAGCAGUAGGGAAUAUUGGACAAUGGAGGAAACUCUGAUCCAGCCAUGCCGCGUGAUAGAUGAAGGCCCUCUGGGUUGUAAAUAUCUUUUAUCUGGGAAGAAACACUCCUAUUCUUAGGAACUUGACGGUACCAGAGGAAUAAGCACCGGCUAACUCCGUGCCAGCAGACGCGGU
rnacentral:rRNA from 1 species